CAUAUCUCAUUCUCUUCUAUCUCUCAUUCGCUUCUGUCAUGUCUGAAAUUCAUAGGUUUCAGAGAUCUCAAAUUUCAGAUAAGCCGACCUAUUUAUUUUUCGCCUUAGGGUUUCGAGGUUUACAUACAAAAGUUGUUUUAGGGUUCAGUCUCUCUUAUAUCGUCUCCAAAAACUCUCAAGAGCAGCAACACAGAGAAGAAGAAAGGCCCUAAACUUCUCAUUUCCUUGGUUUUUGAUUUGAGAGAUCGUGAAGAGGAAUGACGCUUUCCUCGUCAAAGAGUUUGGAAAUAGAAAUCAAAUGGUUCAGUUCAGAAAGAACCUAAUAAUCUAUACAAGGUUAACACCUUCAAACACUUUGGGUUAGCUACUGCAAAGUCUAUUUCAGUUCAAGCUGGAAAAGAUUCAGGUGUUGUUUUGGUUACUAUCAAGACUAACAAACAGAAGUACCAUUCAGCUUUGGUGCACAAAACUGUCACGGAGCUAGGAAACAUACCUCUUCUUGUUGUAUAUUGAAAUUCAGGAAAAUCUGUCUGAAAGAGUAUUAGAGCUUCUUGCGUUGCCCGUGGAUGAUGUUCCGUGGCUGCUCCUUGAUAUUGGCUGUGGCACUAGACUAAGCGGAGAAACAUCAUCUGAGAGUGGACACCAAUGGAUUGGUUUACACAUAUCUGAUUCAAUGCUAGUGAAACAAUGUUGCGCUGGAGCGGGAAGUAGAUGGUGAUCUUUUGCUAAGCGAUAUGGGUCAGGACUUGGGUUUCAUAGAUGGAGUUAUUAAUGGUGAUAUUAGCAUCUCAGGGGUGCAGUGGCUUUUCUAUACGGACAGUUCCUCUCAUAAUCCAAGACUGAGAUUGAAGGCAUUCUUUGGAUCACUAUAUCGGUGUUUACCCUGAAGUGAUCCUCUUCGAACACCAAGUACAUAGCCUAUACCUCCUCCGAUGCUAAAUAUGUAGGAGGUGAUUCCCGUAUUGCGGCUGCUUCACCGGUGUAUAUAAAUCUUUUAAUACUUUCAUAUACUGGACGCUGGGAAUUCGUUUCGUAUUGCCCUUCAAUUGGUUAAGGUUCUUUUUGACCAGUUCUUUAUUUUCGUUAUAUGACGACUGGUAACUCAUGUUGCCCUUGCAAUUGAAGUUCCUUGGGGUUAGCUUAACAAGAAGGAUGCCAUGGCUGCUACUGUACUUCAGGUUCCGCAUUUUGUCUUGGGACUUUCACACUAUUACUGAUUAACUGAAAAUAAUAUUUCUUUUUGGCUUAGUUAUACAUUUGCCUCACAUGUAUCUCGUUGCUUUAUCCUUUAAAGAUCUUAAUCUGCUCAUCUUUCUACAGUUUUUAACGGGAGGAGGCGGAUCCUUUUCAGCUGGUGUCCCGGGAAAGGGAUGCACUCACGGCUGUGUAACUCUAAAUUUGUGUUUCCUUAUAUGUUUCUGGUGUAUCAUAGUUUCUCUGAAGCAUUAUCAGUCUGUUGUCGUUUAUUAAUUAAUGAUGGCCAAUUUUUUUACAUGGAUUCUGAUGUAACUAGUUCUGAAUAGAGUAUCACCAGAUUCAGUCAUUUUCUGCAUUCAGCAGCAUCUAUACUUGACACUGGCCUAUUUGGAAUUCAUGCAUCUACUGUGAGCGUUGUACCAUUUAUGACUCUACUACAUAUUUUAGCAUAACCAAAAAUAAGUUUUGCAGACACGGUUGUAUAAUCCAAUGACUAUUUAAAUAUUCUAUAAUCUUUCCACUAACAAAACAUUAUUAAUUUCUAGUCCAAGGUAUCAAACGUAGAAAGAUGCAUCGGCAAAAAACUUCUCAGAACAUGGGACAUACUUGCUGAGAGGUGUCUAUUACAAGAAUAUGAAAUGGCAAGCAGCAAUCAAGGUGGACAAGAAACAAAUCCACAGCCCAUUUGUUUGACAGGAAUAUAGGGAGUGUCAGCUCUGCAUCCCUGCACCACUGUCUACUAGGGUGGCGCAUUACGACCUGCUGAACUUAAUGAACUUUUUUCAACUCCACUAGAAAGGAGAUAUUUUAAAACUAGCUAUUUUUUAUUUUUUUACCGCAUUGUUAUGAUUUCACAACAUGUAUUAGAUGCUACACAUUUCUGCAAAACCGUCAUUUCUCUGAACUGGCUAGCAGCCUCGGAUCAUUUGUUGCUUGCAAGUGCAUUAUCAACAGUCUUACUAAAUUUUCAUAACUGUGCAUGUGUAUAUGAACAAAAGAAAGAAGCAAACAGAACAAUUUAAUUGAAAUAUAUUUUAUGAAUCAAUCUUUAUUUCACUGCGCUUCUGAGAAUAUUUUUAUUGUGCUCACUCUCAUAUGAAACCUAAUAUUACUUAUAUUUUGGAAUUACAGUCCUUGGAGUAAAGCUCCACAUAAGGAAUCUGCAGAGAAGACUGCAUUAGGAGAGUAAUCCUUUGAUGGAUUCUUGGCACAGGUAUGUGCAUUCACUACUUUCGCUUUGUUUGCUUUCUCAAAGAAUUAAAAGAUUUUCAUUUGCUGGAGUUUAUUCUUUUAUUCCUUUUAAGUUUUUCAAGUGUGCUUUCCCUGCCGUGUCAGUUUGGAAUUUCACUUCUUUAAAUGCAAUAAAUCUGAAUGCAAUGGACCCUUAUGACAUUGUUAGAUCCGGUUAAAAGUGUAGCCAAUUUGGUUUACAUCGGAUACCAAGGAAACAUUGCCUUUGUCCUGCAUAUAACCAGACGAAGAAGGUUAGAUCGCAAGAAGCAACAAUCAGAUAGAAAUGUUUUCCAGUACUUCAUCUUUGGACCUAAAAGGUGUUGGGAAGUCAUCAUUUAUCAACUCUUUACUUGUUGAAGUUAUUGAUAAAAUAAACUUGUAGAGUGAUGUCAAACCUUGUAGAAUCAUACUGAAUAAGAUCUUUUGAUACCACACACAAAAUUUGUAUGUCCUUAGAACUUUUGUAACGUGGUUCUUAAUUUUUGUGUAUAUGGAGUUGAUCAUUGAAUGACAUGGUGGAUUAAA